CUUUCACACAUAUUCCAUAGUUACUUGUUGCCCGAUGUCUCCCAUACUCGUAUGUGUGAAAGGUAAAACCUCGUGUUAAAUACAUAGGUGAUGUGGUGACCUUUGCUACUGGACCUUGGACCAAAUCGUGAAACCAGAUGAGGUAAUAAGGAUCGUCAUACUCAACCUACAAAAAACGUCACCGUUAAAAUUAUCUUAUAGCAUCAAUGCUGAAAUGAGAGAUAUAUAUACAUGUGAUUUUAACCACUUGACAAAGUGCUUAUCUUUCCAUGCGUCAACUUCAGUUGAGGAUAUUCCUGGUAUUGCUUCUUCAACUUGAGAUACAAACAUGUUGCAAAUAAAAUGAAUGCGUUAGAGCAUAUAUAACUAAUAUUUUUCAUAUAAUUAACAUUCACAAAAAUAUUUACCUCUCAAAGGAACGGAUUAUUGCAUCCUCGCACUUGAGCAAAAUAUAAGUGUGGGCACUAUGCUUAUCUUCUUCACAUGACCACCAUACUUCUUUCAGUUUACCACCAAACCGUCCAAUUUGACAGAAAAUGUCAGAAACACCAU
rnacentral:lncRNA from 1 species